UUCUUCUUUUCCUGCUCUCAGCUCCCGAGGGCGCUGUGGCCAUCUGCUGGGGCGGGAAGGGCAGGUGCCCAGGGAGGCAGAGUCCGGAGCCAGCCAAGAGGAUUUAGUCUUCUGCCCCUGAGCUCCUGGACCGGGGACAGCUAGAGGGAGAGUCCACAUGGCCCUGCAGAAUGUGACGGGGCGGCUGGGCAGGCACUCCUGGAACUGCCUGGAACUGCGGGGGGUGUGAAGAAGGAGGGGGUGGUCAUGGUGGCUGCCGAGGUGGCGAGAGGAGGACGGCUGUCCUGUGUUGCACAGGACAUGGAAGGUGAUUAAGAACUGGUCUUAUUGGUAACGGAAGAGAAAAGUUCUGAAUUAUUGGAUUAUGCACGUGGAGGGGUCGCUCUACUCUCUCAGCCCUCCACGCCUGCGCCCUGCGCCGGGGACCCGCCCAGCAGUGAGCCACGGAGAACGUGGGCCAAGCCCUCGCAGAUGCAAGCAACGCGGGCACAGCGGGAACAAGCCAUCAUGCAAAGAAAUGCAGAUGCUCGCAGCUGGAGUCAAAUCUGUUGUGCAGGACUGGGUCAGGGCAAAGGAGGUGAGCUGGGACACCAGCAGCACCUGCUACCUGGGGGGAGCCUAGAUUCCUGCCCUCAUGGAGCUUAUAGUCUAGUGAGAGGGAGAGAAAGGAAGAUCUGCAGUACCUAGCCAGAUAGGCAGGUGACCU